rnacentral:rRNA from 1 species
GCCAGCAACUACACCACGUGAAAACCUUUGGUUCCGUCACACCAUCGGGGUUGCGCUACGUCGGGCUGGGUUAGUACAAUGACUGGGUGACGGAUGAGGAACGCUCGGUGUUGCUGGCC